rnacentral:rRNA from 1 species
UACGUAGGUGGCAAGCGUUGUCCGGAAUUAUUGGGCGUAAAGCGCGCGCAGGCGGUUCCUUAAGUCUGAUGUGAAAGCCCCCGGCUCAACCGGGGAGGGUCAUUGGAUACUGAUCGACUCGAAGGCAGGAGAGGGAAGUGGAAUUCCCGGUGUAGUGGUGAAAUGCGUAGAUAUCGGGAGGAACACCAGUGGCGAAGGCGACUUCCUGGCCUGUCUCUGACGCUGAGGCGCGAAAAGCUAGGGGAGCAAACAGG